CUUCACAUCGCUUAGGCCUGUUUUAUACGUCGAAUUUUGGUCACGUCGAAUGCAUGCAAUUAAAACAAUAGUUAAUGAAUAAAAGAAAGAAUGAAAGAAAGAAAGAAUGAAAGAAAAAAAGAAAGUUUUGAAGUAAUAAAUUUACGUGUUGUUUCCAGAAACAAAACUAUUAUAUUUUAUCACCAUGCAAACAUACAAAGAACUUAUACCGUAUUUACUCGAUUGAGCGCCGCCCCCGAUUAAGCGCCGCCCCCAAAUGAGCGCCGCAUUUGAGAUCAUUUUUUUUUAAAGAGCGCCGCCUCCGAAUGAGCGCCGCAUUAAACAGUGUAAUAAUUUUCCGCCGUCAAAAGGGGGACAUUUUGUGACAAAG